ACGGUUUUUAAUAUAGAAAAAGAAACUCUGUGUCCUACUAUUUCCUCUAUACAAAAUCACCAUUACUCGAGUGUCCCACUGUUUCUUCUAUACAAAAUCACAAUUACUAGAUUGCACAAUUCAUUGAAAACCUUCCCCUCUAUUUUUUUUUUUUUUUUUUUUAAAUCUCCCCUUACACAUUUUUUAUCCCCCGACAUCAUUGGUUCUAAGAAAAUCUCUUACGAAAUUCUUCUUUGUCCCCUCUAUCUCUUGAUCAAAAAAGUCUUUUCAAAUUCUCUUCUCCUUCUUGGUCCCUCUUUCCUUCCCUUUUCGAGUUCCUGAACAUGCGCCUUUGUCUCUUUUUCAUCUCUGUUUUUGUUGUGUAGAUGAUGCAGUCCGUCGAUUGUAACGAACAACUAUUAAAAAUAAAAAAUAUACAGACUAAGCAUGAUAACAGAAUUGACUGGGUAAAAGAUGGGUACAACAGCAGCAAAGAAAAAGGGAAAUGUGGAGAAAAUAAAGUAAGCAAGAUCAUAACAAAACAAGUCAAACUCUAUCUCUUUAGCUUAUCAUUUCUUUUUUUUUUAAUCUUAGAUUAUUGUUGCUUAAUUUCCAGAUUUAUUUCCUAGUUAAUCGAUAAUCUAGUUGCAAUUUCAUGUAUUUAAGCAAGCAUUCAACAUCAAUAAAAAUCAUCAGAAAACCUUGUGGCUCUCCUCACUUGAACGAGAAACCUUUUCCUUUUUAAUUUUCAAGCUCUUUAUUGGGAUCAAUCAACUGGUAUCAGUGCUAUGACUAUCAAUAAAGAGAGAAUUGAAAACAUUGAGGCAAGUAUGGGAGGCAUGCAAUAUCAUAUAAGUCAUGCGGAGAUCAGACUGGCUGAGCGGAUGAUUCAGCUCAAGGACACGGUUAUGCGACUAACCGAAUCCCUGACACUCAAAAGGGAAGGCACUAGUAGCAACGCGGCCAACCGUCCUGCUCAGCUAUAGUUGCCUCGCGAUGAAACACCGGAAUGCACAGAGGGAGGCAAACCUCUGUUCAACUCCAGAAUCGCAAAGCUGGAUUUCCUGACUUUUGAAGGUGACGACCCGACCGAAUGGUGUAACCGAGCUGACAAAUUUUUUUAUUUUUAGGGUUUUCCCGAUGAGCAAAAACUGUCCCUGACCUAUUUUAACUACACGGGCGAAGCCAACCAAUGGUGGCAGUGGCUCCACGGCAUGUACGAAGAAGAAGGGUGAGAAGUGAUUUGGGAAACUUUUCAGGGGGAACUUUGGGCCAGGUUCAGCCUAACGGACUAUGAAAACUUUGAUGAGGCCCUCUCAUGCACAAAGCAAUCUGGCCCAUUAUGCGACUACCAGAAGGAGUUUGAGAAACUGGAAAAUCAAGUACAAGGCUGGACCUAGAAGGCCCUCGUGGGCACAUUCCUUGGCGGCCUUAAGCCCGAGAUUGCUGAAGGUAUCAGAAUG
rnacentral:lncRNA from 1 species